rnacentral:rRNA from 1 species
UACGAGGGGGGCAAGCGUUGUUCGGAAUUAUUGGGCGUAAAGGGCGCGUAGGCGGUGCGGUAAGUCACCUGUGAAAACUCUGGGCUCAACUCAGAGCCUGCAGGCGAAACUGCCGUGCUGGAGUGUGGGAGAGGUGCGUGGAAUUCCCGGUGUAGCGGUGAAAUGCGUAGAUAUCAGGAAGAACACCCGUGGCUAAGGCGGCUCUCUAGUACGGUACUGACGCUGAGACGCGAAAGCGUGGGGAGCGAACAGG